AAAUUGUCUUGAGUUUGAUGAAAAAAAAUUUCUAAUUGAAAAUAUAAAAGGCCAUAUACUCUAAUAAUAAUAAUCAGAUUUAAACAUUUUGGACUAGUGGUUUGUGCUCAGUAAGUUAUUAUUAUUAGUACACUCAGUCGUUGACAAAACUUGCAUGGCAAUCUUGAUAGCUAAUUUACUGUAUAUAGAUGUAAAGUACGUAGGUGAUAGUCGUAUAUUAAUAAUGUCGGAUAGUAAUUAAUGAAAUUGAGUCUAUAUACUAAUAAUGUUGGAUAGUAAUUAAUGAAAUUGAGUUUGAAUGGUUGAUUAAAAUAAGUGAAGAGGUCGCUCAUAUUCAUGGUUUAGCUUUUUAAAGAUUUUGUAGUGGUCUUUAACCGUCCUAAAGUUUA
rnacentral:lncRNA from 1 species